AUUGAACGCUGGCGGCAGGCCUAACACAUGCAAGUCGAACGAGCGUCGGACGGGUGUGUAAUGUAUGGGGACUGCCCGAUAGAGGGGGAUAACUCUUGGAAACGGUGGCUAAUACCGCAUACUGUCUGAUAACCCCUAUGGGGUUAGCUCGUGGGUAAGGUAAUGGCUUACCUAGGCGACGAUCCCUAGCUGGUCUGAGAGGAUGAUCAGCCACACUGGGACUGAGACACGGCCCAGACGCCUACGGAGGCAGCAGUGGGGAAUAUUGCACAAUGGGCGCAAGCCUGAUGCAGCCAUGCCGCGUGUAUGAAGAAGGCCCUAGGGUUGUAAAGUACAUUCAGCCGGGAGGCGUUACCGACAGAAGAAGCACCGGCUAACUCCGUGCCAGCAGCCGCGGUAAUAC
rnacentral:rRNA from 1 species